AUUGAACGCUGGCGGAAUGCUUUACACAUGCAAGUCGAACGGCAGCACGGGGGCAGCCCUGGUGGCGAGUGGCGAACGGGUGAGUAAUACAUCGGAACGUGCCCGGUCGUGGGGGAUAACGUAGCGAAAGUUACGCUAAUACCGCAUACGAUCUGAGGAUGAAAGCGGGGGACCUUCGGGCCUCGCGCGAUCGGAGCGGCCGAUGUCAGACUAGGUAGUUGGUGGGGUAAAGGCCUACCAAGCCGACGAUCUGUAGCUGGUCUGAGAGGACGACCAGCCACACUGGGACUGAGACACGGCCCAGACUCCUACGGGAGGCAGCAGUGGGGAAUUUUGGACAAUGGGCGCAAGCCUGAUCCAGCCAUUCCGCGUGCAGGACGAAGGCCUUCGGGUUGUAAACUGCUUUUGUACGGAACGAAAAGGCUCUGGCUAAUACCUGGGGCUCAUGACGGUACCGUAAGAAUAAGCACCGGCUAACUACGUG
rnacentral:rRNA from 1 species